rnacentral:tRNA from 1 species
GCCGAAGUUGGCGGAACUGGCAGACGCGCUAGGUUCAGGGUCUAGUCGGGGGUUCCCGGUGGGAGUUCGAGUCUCCCCUUCGGCACCA